UAGUGAAAAAAAAGUUAAAUUAUUUGAAAUAGGUUGUGAUGAGAAUGAUGCCAAUCAUUUUGCUAAGCUUCUGGCUAUGAACUGGUCAAAGAUAUUCGUACCUAGUGCUUGUGGUACUUGCUCUUGUGGUGCUGCUUGGGAUAAGCGUGAUGUAUCAGAUGACUGGCUGGAUGAGGAAGGCUGUCAUGUGGCGUAUCUUUAUGAUUUCCACUGUGUGAAUGUGUAUUAUCGACCGUGUUCUACAUGCACAAACAAGAAGCGGUAC